rnacentral:rRNA from 1 species
AAUGAACGCUGGCGGCGUGCCUAACACAUGCAAGUCGUGCGCGAACGGGGCUUCGGCUCCUAGUAGAGCGGCGAACGGGUGAGUAACACGUGGGUAACCUGCCUGGGAGUGGGGAAUAACCUGGGGAAACUCGGGCUAAUACCGCAUACGUUCCCGGAGCUACGGCUCCGGGAAGAAAGCUGGCCUCUGCUUGCAAGCCAUCUCUCCCAGAGGGGCCCGCGGCUGAUUAGCUAGUUGGUGAGGUAACGGCCCACCAAGGCGACGAACAGUAGCCGGACUGAGAUGGUGAUCGGCCACACUGGAACUGAGACACGGUCCAGACUGCUACGGGAGGCAGCAGUGGGGAAUAUUGGACAAUGGGGGAAACCCUGAUCCAGCAACGCCGCGUGUGGGAUGAAGGUCUUCGGAUUGUAAACCCCUGUUGAGAGGGACGAAGGCUUCCGGGCGAACAGUCCGGAAGCUUGACGGUACCUCGAGAGGAAGCCCCGGCUAACUCUGUGCCAGCCGCCGCAGUAAAAC